rnacentral:rRNA from 1 species
GACGAACGCUGGCGGCGCGCUUAACACAUGCAAGUCGAACGGAAAGGCCUGCUUUCCCUUGUGGAUUGCGGGUACUCGAGUGGCGAACGGGUGAGUAACACGUGAGUGAUCUGCCCCCAACUUGGGUAUAAGCCUGGGAAACUGGGUCUAAUUCCCGAUAGGACUGCAGGGUGGUGCCUGUGGUGGAAAACGAUUUUCUAGUGGUUGGGGAUGAGCUCGCGGCCUAUCAGCUUGUUGGUGGGGUAAUGGCCUAGCAAGGCGGCGACGGGUAGCCGGCCUGAGAGGGUGGACGGCCACAUUGGGACUGAGAUACGGCCCAGACUCCUACGGGAGGCAGCAGUGGGGAAUAUUGCACAAUGGGCGGAAGCCUGAUGCAGCGACGCCGCGUGGGGGAUGACGGCCUUCGGGUUGUAAACUCCUUUCGACCGCGAGGAAGCCACCUGGUUGGAAGGGUGGUGACGGUAGUGGUAGAAGAAGCACCGGCUAACUACGUG